rnacentral:lncRNA from 1 species
GAGAAUCCUGCUCGCAGCAGGUAGAACUGGACACCAAGCCCAAGCAAGAGCAGUUGGAGCCUAUAAAUCCUCCCCUACUGUUGCUUAGCUCGGUUUAAAAUCUACUCUGGCUAGGAACCAGAGGAUGUGUGAAAAGAGAAUGGGGAGAGAGGAAGACUCUGCUGCCAGGAAAGCCACAAGGACAAUUGAUUUGGGAGCCUGCCUGUAUGAGGUGACAUCAUCUCUGGAUUUGGAGACCAUAAACAGCUUCUGAUUCCAACAAUUACAUUUUAAAAAAUAAUGUGGAUCACUUAAUUUGAGAUGCCUCCUUGUCAAUAAAUGGUAAUGUUUUAUUGUGACGUGAA